CCCAUACUGGCCCUCGCGCCGGCCGUCGCUCUGUAGUCUCAAGAAGUUCUUGUCAUCUGGGGGGAGACACAUCCAAACACAGCCGAUCUCUCUGCUACCACUAUUAAGGAUAAUAAUUACAACUCAAAAUUGCACGCGGCCGCCUCACAGGUGACAAAGCACUCUGGUAUGUAUUAUCUCAUCUCAUCCUGGCUCUUUGCUGGCGAGCUAAGACUUCCCCGUGUUACUCCGCACACCAUGGAGAAACCAAGAAAGGUUAAAUAAAGCAAUUUGUCCAA